rnacentral:misc_RNA from 1 species
AACCUAGCACACCUGCGGUGUGUACCUGCGGAAGGAUCAUUACCGAGUUAUACAACUCAUCAACCCUGUGAACAUACCUAUAACGUUGCCUCGGCGGGAACAGACGGCCCCGUAACACGGGCCGCCCCCGCCAGAGGACCCCCUAACUCUGUUUCUAUAAUGUUUCUUCUGAGUAAACAAGCAAAUAAAUUAAAACUUUCAGCAACGGAUCU